AAAACGACUCUCGGCAACGGAUAUCUCGGCUCUCGCAUCGAUGAAGAACGUAGCGGACUGCGAUACUUGGUGUGAAUUGCAGAAUCCCGUGAACCAUCGAGUCUUUGAACGCAAGUUGCGCCCGAAGCCAUUAGGCCGAGGGCACGUCUGCCUGGGCGUCACGC
rnacentral:rRNA from 1 species